AACGCGUGGGUAACCUGCCCUGUACACACGGAUAACAUACCGAAAGGUAUGCUAAUACGAGAUAAUAUGCUUUUAUCGCAUGGUAGAAGUAUCAAAGCUUUUGCGGUACAGGAUGGACCCGCGUCUGAUUAGCUAGUUGGUAAGGUAACGGCUUACCAAGGCGACGAUCAGUAGCCGACCUGAGAGGGUGAUCGGCCACAUUGGAACUGAGACACGGUCCAAACUCCUACGGGAGGCAGCAGUGGGGAAUAUUGCACAAUGGGCGAAAGCCUGAUGCAGCAACGCCGCGUGAGCGAUGAAGGCCUUCGGGUCGUAAAGCUCUGUCCUCAAGGAAGAUAAUGACGGUACUUGAGGAGGAAGCCCCGGCUAACUACGUGCCAGCAGCCGCGGUAAUACGUAGGGGGCUAGCGUUAUCCGGAAUUACUGGGCGUAAAGGGUGCGUAGGUGGUUUCUUAAGUCAGAGGUGAAAGGCUACGGCUCAACCGUAGUAAGCCUUUGAAACUGGGAAACUUGAGUGCAGGAGAGGAGAGUGGAAUUCCUAGUGUAGCGGUGAAAUGCGUAGAUAUUAGGAGGAA
rnacentral:rRNA from 1 species